AUGAAAAGUCGAUCUGGGGGAAGAUUUUUAAAUAAGUGGGUCAGAGGGACCGAGAGGAGAUGAGGCGAUCAAUCUUAGCCCCCUGACAGCUCCCUCCGAUGGCAUCAAAGAAUUUGGCUCUUUGGGAAAGCCGAGGGAACAGCCGAAAUUCCACAUCCCUUUAAAAGGCCUGGGGGUGGGGGUGAUGGCAAAAGAGAAAGGUGAUUCUGGGAGAGCAGGGAAACAGAUGGGCAAUGGGGACAGAGGGAAGGACGCUGAGUUGGGUGGAAAGUUUGUGUGGAGAACUCCCACGGCUCUGGCCUCCCCUCCCCCUCCUCCUCUCGGCUGCCCAGCAAGGAGGAGAAGGCUGGUUAGCAGAGAAAUGGCAACUCAGCCGGGAGCUGGAACUAGAAACUUUCUGUCAAUGUAACAGCCGCGUGGGUGGCGACCCAAUGGUGGUUGGGCUUCGGGUCACGUGACGACUUCUUUGUAGCUCCGGAAGAGAACUGUGAAGUUUAGGUUCCUUGGAAGAAGCGGUAAACGGCCAG